rnacentral:lncRNA from 1 species
UGAAAAAUCAUGACAAAAUUUAAUUUAAAGAUAUUAUGCAGAUGUUUUCAAACAUUUUAAUUUUUAAUUAGUGUAUCUGUUUGGGGUUUAACGCCAUAUUUUCAACAGUAUCUUAGUUACGUAAGUAGUAAAGUAAUUGUUUGUGCGAAGACAGUAUAACCCCACUUGACCUAUGACCCUUGGUCAGGACUGGUCAGUGCCGGACAAUUAAAAUACUUUAAAAACCACAGAUUUCAAACAUACUAUUGUGUAAAUCUCCGGUAUAACUGAAUGAAAAUAUUACUUCCUUAUUUUACUCAUUCAUAAACUAGCGUAAAUAUUUACCACAGAUUUCAAACAGACUAUUGGGUAAAAAACACUCAACCGAUAAAAAUCAAUCGGUUUUCUAUACAGUAAAAAAAGAUAUACCGAUAUCGCUUUUGUGUUAUAAUAAUAGCAGUACGUGAGAUUUUCUGAAAAUGAUAAUGAAUUCAGUUUUAUAAAUAACUGACACAUUUUUGGAAAACUGUAAUACUGGUUUUCUGUUUACUAAUACUAGAACAUUCGUUGUUGCUAUAGUGUUAAGUCACGUAAAACUUUGUAGCAGUUUAGUAUUUGGCGUAAAUGAAUAAGGAUUUAAAGAUUAAAAAUGAGUUUUGAAGAGUUCUUUAAAGAUAUUGAUUGUCUAACUGUGGCUUUUAGAGAGAAAUACCCUAACGACUCUGAUGUGCAGAAAUGGAAUGAAAUAUACUGCAAAAGAUACUAUGAUCUUCUCAUUCAACAUAUUUGGAAUCCAGACGAAUUUCAAAUACUUCAAGAAGAGAACACUAGAUUAAAACAAGAAUUACAGACUUUAAAACAAAGUACUUCUAAAACAAUGACGUCGUCCGUAUCAAAACAAACGAAAUAUGAUAAAAUUAGAAAAAAUAUUCAACAAUCAUAUUCAGAAGAAAGAAGGUUAACUUGCGACUGUGAUUACUCUGGAGAACCAACGAUUGAUUUAUGUAUUAAAGCUUUGGGAACGUAUGACAAAUUGAUCAGCUCGGAUAAACGGAAUGUAGUUUUAAAUUCUGCGAACAAAGGAUAUGUUUUAAAAGAUUUAAAAAAACUAUCAAGAAAGGAAAAGAAAGGAUUUAUGGAUAUACUAAAAAAUCAUGGUUUCGUUUAUUCAUUAUCACAUUGCAAUUUUUUAAUACGUUUAUAUGAUUUUGCAAUGACUCAUAAUAAAAUAUUACAUUGUGCUUUAUCUAUUGAGUAUAUUUGUCAAAAUUUUACAAUCAUUAAGAAAAUCUUUCAAGAAUUGACUUGGUGAAUACAAAUAAGUCACUCAACCGUAGGAUUAUAUUAUAAUCACAUGCACGAAUGAACAUCAUAAUAUUACGUUUUCUUGAAAUCAUUCAACCGUAGGAUUAUAUUAUAAUCACAUGCACGAAUGAACAUCA